CCCUUAGAUGUCCUGGGCCGCACGCGCGCUACACUGAACGGAUCAGCGCGUUUUCCCUUCCCGAGAGGGACGGGUAACCUGCUGAACCCCGUUCGUGGUAGGGAUCGGGGCUUGCAAUUAUUCCCCGUGAACCAGGAAUGCCCAGUAAGUGCAAGUCAUAAGCUUGCGUUGAUUACGUCCCUGCCCUUUGUACACACCGCCCGUCGCUACUACCGAUUGAACGUUUUAGUGAGGUACUCGGACUGAGCCUCAGAAGAUUCACGUCUUUUGUGCUGCUCGGGAAGAUUCCCAAACUUGAGCGUUUAGAGGAAGUAAAAGUCGUAACA
rnacentral:rRNA from 1 species